GACGAUCAGUUGUCAAUUGUAAUCUCUCCACUCCCAGAUUAAACCCCACAGGUGGCAGUUGCAAUGUCCAUGCCCACCGUCGCCGCCGCCGUCACCGCCGCCGUCACCGUCACGUCACCGGCCGUAUUCUUUCUCGGCGCACGGUAAUUCGAGGAUGACUACUGUAUUGGUUAAUGUGCUCCGGCUAUGGUGGUGGGAGUUAUAUGAAGUUAAUUGGAUGUGGAAAUUCUUCAUCGGAUGGCUAUUUCCAGAUUGUAAGCCAUUAAAUUUACUGUUUUGGUGAAUUAUUUGAAAAUGCAAUUGCCUUUAAUUUCUCUAUGCCUUUUUUUGAUAGCAAAAUUUCGAGUACUUUGGUCGAAUUAAUUGGGCAACCUCAUACAUACCUAAUUGAACUCUUGGGAGAUUCAUAUUUGCCUGUGAAUAAUUUUAUCAAUGUAUAAGUAUAAGUGAUUAUAUGAUAAUACCGUAAAUUUUUCAAAUGUUGCAAUUUCUAUUGUCAUAUAUUAAUUUUUACGUUUAUAGAACAAUGUCUUAGGUUGUAUGCCUUACAAUCCUGUCUGCGUGGCUAUCCUGCUUGUCAUACUGGUUACGUUUAUAGAACAAUUGCUGCUCCUUAUUUAGAACUCAUAUUGUCUAUAGGAAAUGGUUCCUGCUAAUUUUACUUCUCAUUGUUUGAAGGAAUAUGGGGCAUGAUCGAGACCUGGCGAGAGAUGUAUUUUCAGUAUCAGGUAAUAUUUUAAUCUGGAUAUUGAAGCCUAGUCUUGGUGCUUAUUGAGUUUAUAUUUUUGGAAUAUGGGGCAUGAUCGAAAAGUGCUUUAUCUGAUAAUAUUUAUAUGAAAGAGCAUAUAUCGCAUAAAUGACUGCGUGGGUAAAUGCUUUUAUUGGCGGGGUUUCCCGCAAAUAAAUUUUACCCUACCCUCCCUACUCCCUAUUCCCAUUCUACUUUCUCACACAUUCUCUGCAUCUCUAAAUCCAUUCUACUUUCUCACACAUUCUCUGCAUCUCUAAAUCCCUGUUCAAUUUUCGAUCUCCAUCUCCUCAUUUUCUCUUAUCAAAGGUUCAAACUCAGAGGAAAAGUUGUUGAAACUCCAAUAAUUGAAAUGGUCAGGAUAUGCAUUUUAUAGAAGGAGAUAUUCGUAAAAUGUUAGUUGUACUGUUGGCUUGAAAUGAGAAGAAAUGCUUUAUAUUCUUCUACGUAUUUUAUUGAAAUAGAGAUCCUUUCCAUGUAUCAUAUAUAAUACAUUCAUUUUAUUGUCACGCCUCUUAUUAUUGGCUAGUUUUCGUUCUCUUAAGUUCGUUUUUUUAAUUCAUUACAAUUUUAUUUGCUAUGCAGAAUCUAAAUAGAGAAUAAUGAUGUUGGCUAAGAGCGAUCAAGACUGAGAUGAAAUGCCAAAAAUACCAAAGAGCAAUCAGUUUUCAGCAUUACCAAAGUAAGUUUGGUACAAUUUACUAGUGGUUCGGGUUUUGUUAAUGAAAUGCCAAAGAAAAAUCUCUAUAUUUUUUUACAGAAUAUUCAAUUCUACCUAAUCUAGAGGAAUUUAUGAACCAAACCUAGUUGUUUGGUUUUAGUAUUAAGUUUAGCAAAAUGCAAACUGAUAUUUCUGUUUGCUAAUGUUGGGUUUUAUGAAUGGACAGGCCUAUUAGCAGUGGAUAUUGGGCUUAGAUACUCUCUCAGAUCUCCAAGAAAUGGCUAAUGAAGAGUCCACAAAACAUAGUAAGG
rnacentral:lncRNA from 1 species